UACAGUUUUAUACCAUCGUGCUGAUAACGUUUCUUUAGUCCUUCGGCAAUCCUACAGCCUGAACCACUGUAGGGAAACCACCCUUACAAACAAGAGGGGAACAAAACUAUUUAAUAUUUUACAGGUCCCACCUAUAGAACAAGUAUGAAUGAAGAAUUAAGGUAAUGUUGGAUAUUUAGAUCAGUAAAGAAUUUUAAUCCAUGAAUAAGACAGUGUAAAUAUGAAGGGACCGUCAAGAGAAGAAAAAGAGAUAAAAAUGAGGAUAAAUGUAAAAAUGUAGAAAAGAUAAAACAAAAUGUAGAAGAAUGGAUAAAAAUAAAUGGAAUGCUAUUUCAAGAAGCGAAAUGUAUUCUAUUAACAACAGUUAGAAAUUGAUUAGUAGGAUCGAGAAAGACAGGAUACGCAGAAGAAACCAAAAUUAGUCUGGAAUUAAAUAAAACCGUUCCAUGGAUAUGGAAAGGAAUGGCUUUGCCUAGGGUUAAAUUCAAUUUUAAAUUUGGUUACUGGGAGAUAGAUACUUUUAAAUGGGAAACUGAUGUAUAUUUAAUUCAAAUGGUAUAUUUAAUUCAAAUAAAGCAUGAAAAAUGGAAAAUGAAAUAAAAAAUUACUACGAAAAUAAGGUAAAACAAAUGGAUGAAUGUGUUAGAAAAGAAAUUAGUAAAAUAAAUCAUGAACAAAAAUAUAAAUAUGUAAAGACUGAUAAUAAUGAUUUUUCUUAUGCUAAUUUUUAUGACCAAAAAGAGGAAAUGGACUGUGAUGAUUUUUGCAAUGGUAAAGAUCCAUUCACAGGAAAUAAAACAGGAAAUGAAAACUUAAGUAUAAAAAGGAAGUUGUACUUAAAGAGAUUAAACAUUUACCAAAGAAAAGACAAGGAAGACAUCUAUAGAAGUAAUUUUGUUUUCUUUAGUGAUGCCCUUUUUGGACUAACGGGAAAUGAAUGUGGAAGUAUUAUUGAAAAAUGUUCCGAAGGACAUGAUCAAAUUACUAUCAAUCAGAUAGCAUCAGUUUUAUGUUAUUGGAGCGAGGUGAUAGUUCCAUUACCUUGGACUUUUAAGAGAAGUAAACUGGCUAAUAAAUAUGAAAUGAGUUAUGGAGCCGGAGGAGUGAUAAGAAUUAUAGAUAGAAAUCUUAAAUGGAAAAUGUUUCAUGGACCGGUUUAUAUAGCAAUGAAUAGUUUAUUAAGGUAAAGGGUUUCAAAAGGAGGGGAAAAUGUACCAUUAAUGAGAUUAGAUGCUAUAGCAAUUGAUGAUUUAUCACUAACGAUUGAAAGAAAGAACUGGAAAGAAAACUGGUGUAAAGCAAAUUAUAGGAAUUAUUAUUUGGGUUUAAACUGGUUGAACAAUGAUAUUUGCAAUAUUAGUAUAGAAAUUAAAGUUCAGAAAAUAAAAGGAGGACCAAGAUGGUUCGAAGCUCCUGAGGAAUUUGUGAAACAAGGAGUAGAAGGUAUGCGGAAAGCAGCUAAAGCUGUGUUUAACUUUGUUACAAGAGACAUAUGGCUUGGAUUGAUUAAUUAUCUUAUUAGGAUUGGUUGGUAUAUUUUAUAUGGAGGAUUAAUUCUAUUACACAGCAAAAAAUCCAGAGUGAGUACAUGUGAGACGAGACAGGUGUAACUGCAGCCUGGAGCAAUGGGCGUGCCGAAAGACAAGAGAAGGUGGCGGCGAUAAGACGUGAGACAUACUGUAUGUACAGUGAGACAAAACGAUGACCGCAUCUGCAUCGAAGCUCUCAGAGCUGAUAGUUUGUAUCGGCGUCCUUUUUGUGCAAUACAGUACAGAAUACAUCCUGUAUCCAACUAAUGCAGAGUAUAUUCAAGUUGCCAACACACUGGUUGUGAAGUAUCCUUUCC